AAGCGUAACCUCUUGUAAAUCUCCAACACUAAGCUUGGUUACAGCUCUGUUGAAGAAUUGCAGGUGGUAGGUG
rnacentral:pre_miRNA from 10 species